rnacentral:rRNA from 1 species
CCCAGGCGCACCCAGAAACCCUUUGUGAACUUAUACCUUUUGUUGCCUCGGCGCUGCUGGUCUCUAGUAGGCCCCUCACUUCGGUGAGGAAAAGGCACGCCGGCGGCCAAAUCAACUCUGUUUUUACACUGAAACUCUGAGAAAAAACACAAAUGAAUCAAAACUUUCAACAACGGAUCUCUUGGUUCUGGCAUCGAUGAAGAACGCAGCGAAAUGCGAUAAGUAAUGUGAAUUGCAGAAUUCAGUGAAUCAUCGAAUCUUUGAACGCACAUUGCGCCCUCUGGUAUUCCGGAGGGCAUGCCUGUUCGAGCGUCAUUUCAACCCUCAAGCAUUGCUUGGUGUUGGGGCACUGCUUCUAACGAAGCAGGCCCUGAAAUCUAGUGGCGAGCUCGCCAGGACCCCGAGCGCAGUAGUUAAACCCUCGCUCUGGAAGGCCCUGGCGGUGCCCUGCCGUUAAACCCCCAACUUCUGAAAAUUUGACCUCGGAUCAGGUAGGAAUACCCGCUGAACUUAAGCAUAUCAAUAAGCGGAGGAAAAGAAACCAACAGGGAUUGCCCUAGUAACGGCGAGUGAAGCGGCAACAGCUCAAAUUUGAAAUCUGGCCUCGGCCCGAGUUGUAAUUUGCAGAGGAUGCUUCUGGCGCGGUGCCUUCCGAGUUCCCUGGAACGGGACGCCACAGAGGGUGAGAGCCCCGUAUGGUCGGACACCAAGCCUGUGUGAAGCUCCUUCGACGAGUCGAGUAGUU